GACGAACGCUAGCGGCGUGCUUAACACAUGCAAGUCGAACGGAAAGGCCCUGCUUUUGUGGGGUGCUCGAGUGGCGAACGGGUGAGUAACACGUGAGUAACCUGCCCUUGACUUUGGGAUAACUUCAGGAAACUGGGGCUAAUACCGGAUAGGAGCUCCUGCUGCAUGGUGGGGGUUGGAAAGUUUCGGCGGUUGGGGAUGGACUCGCGGCUUAUCAGCUUGUUGGUGGGGUAGUGGCUUACCAAGGCUUUGACGGGUAGCCGGCCUGAGAGGGUGACCGGCCACAUUGGGACUGAGAUACGGCCCAGACUCCUACGGGAGGCAGCAGUGGGGAAUAUUGCACAGUGGGCGGAAGCCUGAUGCAGCAACGCCGCGUGCGGGAUGACGGCCUUCGGGUUGUAAACCGCUUUCGCCUGUGACGAAGCGUGAGUGACGGUAAUGGGUAAAGAAGCACCGGCUAACUACGUG
rnacentral:rRNA from 1 species